rnacentral:misc_RNA from 1 species
AAAGUCGUAACAAGGUUUCCGUAGGUGAACCUGCGGAAGGAUCAUUAUUGAAUAAAUUGGCUUAGGUUGCUGCUGGCUCUUCGGAGCAUGUGCACAUCUAUUCCAUUUUUUUAAACCCCCUGUGCACUCUGUGUAGACCUGGACGGUUUUCAAGAAAAUCUUUUUCUUGGUCCUGAGGAUUGCUGUGUGAAAGCCGGCUUUCUUUGCGUUCUAGUGUCUAUGUUUUACAUACACCAUAUAAAAAUGUAUUAGAAUGUUAUAAACUGGCCAUUUGUGCCUUUAAAACCAAAUACAACUUUCAACAACGGAUCUCUUGGCUCUC